rnacentral:rRNA from 1 species
UGACCGGGGGAUCCCAGUGCCGUGUCUUUGAUCGACGCUUUUCGAGGUCUAGAGCUCCAGAUAGGGCUGGGCAGACUGGUGCCAGCGCCGCGGUACACAGCAGCCAAGUGGUGACCACGAUUAUUGGGCCUAAAGCGCUCGUAGCCGGGUCAACAAGUCCCUUGUGAAAUCGGGCCGCCUAACGGUUCGGCGUGCAAGGGGUACUGUUGGUCUUGAGGCCGGGAGAGGUCGGAGGUACUCCUGGGGUAGCGGUGAAAUGCUCUAAUCCUGGGGGGACCACCAGUGGCGAAGGCGUCCGACCAGAACGGACCUGACGGUGAGGGGCGAAGGCUAGGGGAGCGAACGGGAUUAGAUACCCCGGUAGUCCUAGCUGUAAAGCAUGCGGGCCAGGUGUCUAGUGCUCCUCGAGGGCACUAGGUGCCGGAGGGAAGCCGUUAAGCCCGCCGCCUGGGAAGUACGGCCGCAAGGCUGAAACUUAAAGAAAUUGGCGGGGGGGCACCACAAGGGGUGGGACCUGCGGUUCAAUUGGAUUCAACGCCGGACAACUCACCAGGGGCGACAGUUGUUUGAAGGCCAGGUUGACGACCUUGCCCGACUAGCUGAGAGGUGGUGCAUGGCCAUCGUCAGCUCGUACCGUGAGGCGUCCUGUCAAGUCAGGCAACGAGCGAGAUCCUCGCCCUUAGUUGCCAUCAGUGGGAAGCUGGGCACUCUAAGGGGACCGCUGGCGCUAAGCCAGAGGAAGGAGAGGGCGACGGUAGGUCAGUAUGCCCCGAAUCCCCUGGGCUACACGCGGGUCACAAUGUGCAGGACAAUGAGAUGCAACCCCGUAAGGGGAAGCCAAACCCAUAAACCUGCACUCGGUUCGGAUCGAGGGCUGUAACUCGCCCUCGUGAAGAUGGAAUCCCUAGUAAUCGCGUGCCAACACCGCGCGGUGAAUGCGUCCCUGCUCCUUGCACACACCGCCCGUCAAGCCACUCGAGUGGGGUCCGGAUGAGGUCAGCUCAAGUUGGGCUGCUCGAAUCCGAGUUCUGCAAGAGGGGCU